rnacentral:lncRNA from 1 species
UGGUCGUAUAAGUACUAGUUAUUUUGCUAUGAACCUAUUAUUAUAUAGCUUAUGAGUGUUAAGUUGGUAUUUUAUUAUAGCUUUUGACUUUAUGGUAUUAGUUAUUUUGUUAUGAACUUAUUAUAUUUAUGAACCUAUAAUUUUUCUUAAAGGCUUACGCCUUGAAUUGGUUCCUACGCCUCGGUUCGAACUGGUUCCUACGCCUCAUGGUACUAUAAGAAACGCCUCGGUUCUCGAUUUAGUUUUUUAAAACAUUGAUCAGAACCUCAAAAUUUAGGAUUUAUAAGAUAUUAGUAGUUGAGACUUACACUGCAGAAACAUGAUCUUUGUGCACACAUCUUGUCUCAUUCAUUUUUCGAACAUCAUAACUAUAGGCUAUAGCAAUUGCAAUCUUCAUUUUGCCUGAAUUGACAUGAUAUUUUAAUUUACAAUCAUAGCAUUUCAAGAUAUAUAAUUUCACCAGGCCAUGAACUAGCUCACAACUUUUCAUGCAUGUGUUAUUGGAUGCCAUAUAACAGACUAACAAUUCCAACCAAAUUUUGCAUGCUUAUUGAGAAAAAAGAAUAAUAUAUGAAUCAUAAUCAAGUGCACAUGUCAUAAAUAGGUAAUCCGGGUGCUUUACUACUGCCUCAAAAGUUAUAUUAGAAAAUGAUGCAUACAAAAGCAAAUGAAACUUUAGAGGCCAGCAUCUUAAUGCAGCAGGAGAAGAUAUAUGUAGGUUCGACAAGUCAAAACAUUCAUUUUUUUUAUACUACUCCCUUGCAAGCAUGAAUAUCUGCAAAAUUCACCAAAAAUCAACACAUAAAUUACUUGAAAGCUUCGAAACAAUCCCAGCAAAUUCCAGAUAAAAUUGCACGAAAAUGAGGAGAAACUAAUUGUCAGCAAUGACAACAUAAUAAUACGGACAACACACAAUUUUAACCUAAUUUGACGGAUACGCAGAAUUGGAUUUGCAAAUCAAAAUGGUUGACAUUUCUAUCAAACAACUUGGGCUAAUUACAACAAGGAACAAAAAAAAUGUACUAUAUGUUACGAGUAAAAUCUACCGAAAUACUAUUGAAGUGCAAUCUAACCAAAAAUUUGAGCCUGUUUCUGGCUUGCCUUGGAGGCUCUGAGACGUGGUGGCGGUGACCAGAGAAGAAGAGGACGGCGCCGACAAGAUACAGUUCUAGAGGUCGACUAGCUAGGGCGCUAAAGAUUGAGGUCGGGCGGCAGAGAAGCGACGGCGCAAGGUAGGGUGAUGCCGGGGAGGUUGGCGGGGGAGAGAAGUGAGGCGCUGGAUAGGGCGGGGCGGCACAGGGAGGUCGGCGGGGGAGAGAGGCGAGGCGCUGGAUAGGGCGGCGCAGGGAGGAUGGCGAGGACUGAUGGAGUUACCCUAGGGAACCAAGAAGAAAACUAAUGUUUAAUUCAUAUAGUUUUUUCUAAUUUGUUUUGUAUUUUCAUGUUUAAUUUUUUUUUAAUUAUAAUAUAAAACCGGUUUUUAACCGAUGUG